rnacentral:rRNA from 1 species
CACGCCGUAAACGUUGUCAACUUGAUGUGGGGGGAUUUAGUCCCCUCCGUAUCGAAGCUAACGCGAUAAGUUGACCGCCUGGGGACUACGGCCGCAAGGCUAAAACUCAAAGGAAUUGACGGGGGCCCGCACAAGCGGUGGAGCAUGUGGCUUAAUUCGAGGCAACGCGAAGAACCUUACCUGGGCUUGAAAUAUAGUUGACAGUCCGUGAAAGCGGAUCUCCCUUCGGGGCAAUUAUACAGGUGC